rnacentral:lncRNA from 1 species
CGUAAUUAUAUAGACACAGGUGAGAUUUCAUGUCAGGUAAUCACCUAAUUGUAUAGACACAGGUGAGAUUUCAGUUUCCUCGUGGCAUUGCACUGAUGUGACCGGGUGUGUGGGUCGUUUUCCUCACUCCUCUGGAAAGGUAUGGUUGGUGUUUAUAACGUUUUUUUUUGACAAAAAUGAAUUAUAAAUUUAGAAUAUGGGUGUUGGGGGGACUAAUUUAAUUUAAUUUAAUUUAAUUUGGAUUUUGAUUCAUGUGUUUGUUGUUUCAUGUAAUUUUAGAUUAGUCGUGUGUGUCCAGGCAUUGUUAGCGAGUAUGUAAGUGUCAUGCGCAUGAAAGAAGUCGCCAGCUGCUGCUUUGUUGUGGCUUAUAUACCGGUUCCAGUUUUGGGACGCCGGAUUGUUGCUUGCGCACUGUUGCUUUGAACGCCUUAAGUUCGCUAUUUUCUGUACAUCGCUUGCUUUGGAGACGCAAGACCGUUGCCUCUUGUUCCGCUGCCACCUGGUGGUCGGCUGCCAGUAUAUUGAUUUGUGGUGUUCCGACUGUUGCUCGUGUGUGUGUGAGAGAGUGCGCGCGCGCGCGCGCGCCUUUGAGUUGGAUUUAAGUUUUUUAUUUUGUUAUUGUUUGGUUUGUUUUAUUGUAUUUGGGUGUUUGUUUGAAUUUUGUUAUUGGGGUUGGUUGGGUAUUAUUUCUUUGUCUUGCCUUGCAUUGAUAUUGCUCAGUUAAGGGACUGAGAACUUAUGGUUUAUUUUGGGGUGAUUUUUUUAUUUUUUUUCUCUUUUAUGAUGUAUUAUGUUGUGUUGGUUUGAAGUAGUGAAUGUUUUUGUUGGUUGGUUUGGAUUGUUUAAAUUGUAUUUUUCUUCACUCUUGGUUUGUGAUUUGAGCCUGUAUCUAAUGUUUGGUGUAACGGUAUGUUCAUUGUAGGGCUGCACGAUAAAUCGCAUGCGAUAUUUAACGCGCAUCUUGUCAGAAAGCCGGUUCUGUAAUCAGCGGUAAAUCUCCAUCACCUGCGGGCUUUCACAUUGAGCAGCAUUAACUACACAGAGCCGUUGUUCACUGACUAGCUGCGCCAAAAAUCGCACGAAUGUGAACGUGGUUUGGCGCAGCUAGUCAGUGAACAACGGCUCUGUGUAGUUAAUGCUGCUCAAUGUGAAAGCACGCACGUGAUGGAGAUUUACCGCUGAUUACAGAAGGGCUUUACUGACAAAAUGCGCGUUAAAUAUCGCAUGCGAUUUAUCGUGCAGCCCUAGUUCAUUGCUAUUAUUUGUCGUUGUCAUUUUUUUGUGUGAGCAUAGGGGUGGCUGGUUCAUUUGGUCGUACUAAACCAAAGCCAUUGGGCUGUUUAUAUAGUGUCUCUUUGGUGCCCCAUAAGCAAGGUAUUUGGACAUCUCCGCUGCCAAUGAAUGCUAGUUUGACUUAAGCCAAGUAGUUGACUUAAGGUGUAAAGUGUCUUUUCUUAUGAAUGUUGAGCUCAAUGUUUUUAGUAGUGCUUGAUGAAUAAACUUGUGAUCCUGUGGCAUUGUUCCUGCUUGUCCUUUUCAUUUUAUU